UUAUUUAAGAGAGUAAAUGGAAUUUUUCUGUAAUGGUGGUAUGUGUAAAUAGGAAAAAGAACUUUAGACGUGAAGACUAUUUACUUCUAAGAUUAUAAUGUGUUGGCUAAAACACGAGAGUGUGGGGAGCAAACAGGAUUAGGUACCCUGGUAGUCCAUACUGUAAAUAAUGAAAAAGAUGUGAAGCAAUUCUAAAAGGUAAGAACUUUUCCGCUUGAGUAGUACGAUCGCAAGAUUAAAAUUCAAAAAACUUGGCUGUUCACUGUUUUGAUUAGAGGAGCGUGUCGUUUAAUUCGAUAGUCCGCGAGAGACCUUACCCAAACUUGAAUCCCUCAUUGACAGGUAUUGCAUGGCCGUCGUCAAUUUGUGUAUUAAACAUAAAACAAAUUCAACCCAGUGGUUUGUCUAUUGGAUGAAGUCAGGUCUUAUUGUCCUAAUGUUUGGGGAUUAGAUGCGCUACAUUUUUUUAUACAAUGGGAAACUUUGAAUGUGAAACCCAAAAAUAAGAGUUCGGAAGGUGCCUGGAAUAUAACGGAAAGUUGGAUUUAAUAGUAAUUGAAAAGUAGAGCGUUUCAAUGAAAUUUAUUCAGUGUUAGUACAAAUUGCCCGUCGCCUUUGCUUAGAAAGGUUGUUUGGUUGCCCCUCAAGAGGGUUCCUAAUAUCUUCGAGGUAGAGUAAGUCGUAA
rnacentral:rRNA from 12 species